rnacentral:rRNA from 1 species
CGGGGUGAGUAAUGUCUGGGGAUCUGCCUGAUGGCGGGGGAUAACUACUGGAAACGGUAGCUAAUACCGCAUAACGUCGCAAGACCAAAGAGGGGGACCUUCGGGCCUCUUGCCAUCGGAUGUGCCCAGAUGGGAUUAGCUAGUAGGUGGGGUAACGGCUCACCUAGGCGACGAUCCCUAGCUGGUCUGAGAGGAUGACCAGCCACACUGGAACUGAGACACGGUCCAG